rnacentral:lncRNA from 1 species
GACUCUCUCCAUAAAACCAUACACCCAUUCCGAACACGCAAAAAGGAGAAGCCAAGCCAACCCCAAUUCUAGCUCCAUGUUAAUAUCAAUGGCCGAUAAACUUGAAACGUUUCGAAACCUGUAUGGAAACCAAAUAUCUAGUCAUCUCUCCACCGCUUGUAGAGCUCUGAAGAGAUUGGCUUCAGCAACUGUCUUCCUUUUCUUCAUCCUCCUCGUUGUCGGUGUCUUCAUACUCAGGAUUGACGUU